UACAGAGGUCUCAAGCGUUGUUCGGAUUCAUUGGGCGUAAAGGGUGUGUAGGUGGCGCGCUAAGUCGGGUGUGAAAUUUCGGAGCUUAACUCCGAAACUGCAUUCGAUACUGGCGUGCUUGAGGACUGGAGAGGAGACUGGAAUUUACGGUGUAGCAGUGAAAUGCGUAGAUAUCGUAAGGAAGACCAGUGGCGAAGGCGGGUCUCUGGACAGUUCCUGACACUGAGGCACGAAGGUCAGGGGAGCAAACGGG
rnacentral:rRNA from 1 species